rnacentral:rRNA from 1 species
UACGGGGGGAGCAAGCGUUGUUCGGAUUUACUGGGCGUAAAGGGCGCGUAGGCGGCCAGCGCAAGUCAGUUGUGAAAUCUCCGAGCUUAACUCGGAACGGUCAACUGAUACUGCGCGGCUAGAGUGCAGAAGGGGCAACUGGAAUACUCGGUGUAGCGGUGAAAUGCGUAGAUAUCGAGAGGAACACCUGCGGCGAAGGCGGGUUGCUGGGCUGACACUGACGCUGAUGCGCGAAAGCCAGGGGAGCGAACGGG